rnacentral:tRNA from 1 species
GCCCCGGUAGGGCAGCCUGGAUAGCCCGCCUGGUAUCGCAACUAGGAGAUCGAGGGUUCGAAUCCCUCCCGGGGCG